rnacentral:rRNA from 1 species
GAUGGACGCUGGCGGCGUGCCUAAUACAUGCAAGUCGAGCGAACGGACGAGAAGCUUGCUUCUCUGAUGUUAGCGGCGGACGGGUGAGUAACACGUGGAUAACCUACCUAUAAGACUGGGAUAACUUCGGGAAACCGGAGCUAAUACCGGAUAAUAUUUUGAACCGCAUGGUUCAAAAGUGAAAGACGGUCUUGCUGUCACUUAUAGAUGGAUCCGCGCUGCAUUAGCUAGUUGGUAAGGUAACGGCUUACCAAGGCAACGAUGCAUAGCCGACCUGAGAGGGUGAUCGGCCACACUGGAACUGAGACACGGUCCAGACUCCUACGGGAGGCAGCAGUAGGGAAUCUUCCGCAAAGGGCGAAAGCAUGACGGAGCAACGCCGCGUGAGUGAUGAAGGUCUUCGGAUCGUAAAACUCUGUUAUUAGGGAAGAACAUAUGUGUAAGUAACUGUGCACAUCUUGACGGUACCUAAUCAGAAAGCCACGGCUAACUACGUG